GGAGAAUGCAGAAGUGAUGUGUGUCGUGGGGCAACCGAUAGUUCCAAACACUGAAUAGUUCCAGCACUGAACCCCAUUCAUUUCAGUGUUUCUCAAGCACACUCGCUGCUGACAUGUGAACCCAUGGGAGACUGACUUUGAUGACCUAGCAAGCCAGUUAUCUACAAAUGAUCCAAAAAGCAAUAAGGUUUAUUGGAACUUGUGCAAUAACUUUUGGUCUUCUGAAAUUGGCAGUCUGUCAAAUGGCUAUAAUUACUACAUGGUUCACUUGAUACAUCUGAAAAUACCCACAAAUUUAAACUGAGAGUUUGCAUUUGAAGUCCAAAGUAAUUAUUUAAUUUCAGAUUCAAUGUACUGCACAGAAAUCAUGCCAAUGUCCAAAUAUGUAUGGACCUAACUGUAGUUUUCUCCAGCAGCAACAGGCUCGACUCGACUCAAGAUUCAGUCUCCUCUGGGGCCUAUGACGUGGUCUGCUACCAGUGGUGGAAUGAGACUGAAUGAGUUUCUAUGAAGACUGCCCAUUCAAGGAAAAACGUAUCAAACCUCACCCUGGAUAUAUUAUAUAAUAAAAUGUUUUGUUUAAUGUGA